GACAUUUCACUCAUGCAGACAACAUGCUGCUGCUUACCUUUCUCAUUGCAACUUCACUUUGGUCUCGUGGAGAUGCGCAGGCUGCACCAGUGCAAAGCCCGGCAGAGCUCUGGCUGCUGGAGGGCAACUCAGUCACCAUGACAUGCCAGCUGAGUAGUGGCACCGUUGUGCACUGGUACAAGCAGCUUCCUGGGGAGCCACCCAAGAGGAUACUGUACAUGUCUGGAAACUCACCUACCUUUGAUUACAGCAACGAUAGGCAGAAGUUUCAAGUGCAGAGAAAUGCUUCCAACUCUGUUCUGACAAUAAAGAAAUCUACUAGGAGGGAUACCGGUACUUACUAUUGUGCAUACUGGUAUUAUCAAGGCAUCACAGCGUUAGAUGGGCAAAGAUAAGCCAUACAAAAAGGCAUUUGGCCCUCUGAACCUCAAGCUCUGAACUCCCGCCAGAUGCAUAUACAUCUCUAUGCCACCUUUCUCUGGUGAUUUUCUGCAGCAGGAUAGGAAAAACAAAAUAUCAACAUGGCCAGUGUGAAAUGGAUUCUGUUAUCUAAUACCCUGAACAUUUUUUUCUGUAGUUACACAUACCUGUAUCAUGCAGAAACUGGACAUUCUUUGUCACUUAAGGUUAAAAACUGGUGACUUUGCUGUUAUGGUGAAGAAUUGACUGUACUCAGAGCACACACCUUACAGUGAGCACAGACUGCCUGUGCCCAUGAACAAAGAGGAGUUGUAAAUUUCCAUUCUCUAUUAAAA